GUGCUCACUUCGGCAGCACAUAUACUAAAAUUGGAAUGAUACAGAGAAGAUUAGCAUGGCCCCUGCACAAGGAUGACACAAAAAUUCGUGAAGCGUUCUAUAUUUUU
rnacentral:snRNA from 10 species